GAUGAACGCUAGCUACAGGCUUAACACAUGCAAGUCGAGGGGAAACGACAUCGAAAGCUUGCUUUUGAUGGGCGUCGACCGGCGCACGGGUGAGUAACGCGUAUCCAACCUGCCCACCACUUGGGGAUAACCUUGCGAAAGUAAGACUAAUACCCAAUGAUAUCUCUAGAAGACAUCUGAAAGAGAUUAAAGAUUUAUCGGUGAUGGAUGGGGAUGCGUCUGAUUAGCUUGUUGGCGGGGUAACGGCCCACCAAGGCAACGAUCAGUAGGGGUUCUGAGAGGAAGGUCCCCCACAUUGGAACUGAGACACGGUCCAAACUCCUACGGGAGGCAGCAGUGAGGAAUAUUGGUCAAUGGACGAGAGUCUGAACCAGCCAAGUAGCGUGCAGGAUGACGGCCCUAUGGGUUGUAAACUGCUUUUAUAAGGGAAUAAAGUGAGUCUCGUGAGACUUUUUGCAUGUACCUUAUGAAUAAGGACCGGCUAAUUCCGUGCCAGCAGCCGCGGUAAUACGGAAGGUCCGGGCGUUAUCCGGAUUUAUUGGGUUUAAAGGGAGCGUAGGCCGGAGAUUAAGCGUGUUGUGAAAUGUAGACGCUCAACGUCUGCACUGCAGCGCGAACUGGUUUCCUUGAGUACGCACAAAGUGGGCGGAAUUCGUGGUGUAGCGGUGAAAUGCUUAGAUAUCACGAAGAACUCCGAUUGCGAAGGCAGCUCACUGGAGCGCAACUGACGCUGAAGCUCGAAAGUGCGGGUAUCGAACAGGAUUAGAUACCCUGGUAGUCCGCACGGUAAACGAUGGAUGCCCGCUGUUGGUCUGAAUAGGUCAGCGGCCAAGCGAAAGCAUUAAGCAUCCCACCUGGGGAGUACGCCGGCAACGGUGA
rnacentral:rRNA from 1 species